rnacentral:rRNA from 1 species
UACGUAGGGACCAAGCGUUGUUCGGAUUUACUGGGCGUAAAGGGCGCGUAGGCGGCAAAUUAAGUCAUCUGUGAAAUCUCCGAGCUUAACUCCGAAACUGCAUUCGAUACUGCGGUGCUUGAGGACUGGAGAGGAGACUGGAAUUCAUGGUGUAGCAGUGAAAUGCGUAGAGAUCAUGAGGAAGACCAGUGGCGAAGGCGGGUCUCUGGACAGUUCCUGACACUGAGGCACGAAGGCCAGGGGAGCGAACGGG